UGCAUGUGUGAGGGAUGUGGAAGUAGGUGUGAGAGAGAAGGAAAUAUGGUGAGGAUUAGCCAGAGCUAACCUGACGAGGUAACCGGUAAUUUGGACUAAGAAUUCUAAUGAUUUGUAAAAGAAUAAAUUGAUUAAAUGAAUUAAAUGACCAAGCGGUUAGUACAUCACCCAUAUAAUGGAAUCAGAGCAAACUCAGCUGGAGUUAUUGAAGUGAACCGUCAUGGGGCUGAGACGUACGGGGCCUUCAGAUUCGCAGCACACGGUCUGGACCUGCGGGUUCGGAACGGUGCGUCGUCGUUAGGGCCGCCUGGAUGUCCUGCCGCGGGUUGAUCGGUUCUAUGCAAAGACCUGAUCCAGCAGAUCUCCGGAGUUCUCAGCUGAGUGCUUAAAAAUGAUGGUUCUCAGGCUUUAGCCAAGAAAAACGGGUGUUGAUGAAAAACGGUCGAAAUUAAGAAAAAUAAAUGCUGGUUCUGAAUCGGUUCUUCAGAUUAAAACGAAUAACGAGCAAAAUGUCUCCUUAAGUUACAAAAAUGUUAAAAGAUAAAUAGUUAACAAACUUAGAUGGUGAGGGAAUUUCAAAGAUAGGAAAAACGCGCUUUAGGUAAGAAAAUAAUGGGAAUCUCUGUCAUGGAUUCCUCAGGUAGUGAAGAAAGGGAAGUAAAAUGUGGGCUACGGCUGACUUUAUCUGUGGGUCCAGCUAAGGGGAGGACCUGGGCGGAGAGAGAGAACUUUUAGGCGCGAGUCUGGUGGAAUUUGGAAUCUCUUUGUUCUCACAAAGUAGAGAAGAAAGAGGAGUCCAGAAUGGAUUAAAAUAUGAUAUUAAACGCGCAAAACACGAUCUGUCUAUCCCACCAUAUUCAGUUGUGUGAAAGUGAAAUGUGUAGAUUAAUACAUAUGUUCAUAUGAUGUGAAUCAUUUCAUUCAUAACUAUAUGUUUAUGUUUAUGACAUUAAAAUAUCACAACAAGUCAGAGAUUUGGUAACAGGUAAAUACAAUGGUCAUCAUUCAACCUAAAUGGAGAGGAAAUUCAGAGAUUAAUAAGGGAAUUCAUUCCAAAAUCAUAGUAUCCUGGGGAAGAAAUGAUUAAAACAUCACAAAUUAAUAAAUCGACUUCUAUCAGACAUGCAAAUAUGAUCUUCAAAUAUGACAUAGAUGAAACACUGUGAGUAACUGUGGUAAAUCUGGAAAAACCAAAUGCAUAUAGAAAUAUUAAUUUGGCAAGUGUUUUUGUUUAAGUUCAGUUCCAGUCUCUUUGUUUCAGUCAAAGAGAGUGAGAGGGUGACUCCAGCCUUCAGCCAUAAAGUUUUACGACUUGUUAUCUGAUCUGUGGAAUGCAGAGACGUCUCCGGCUGAGGGUCUCCUAAAGCUGAAAAGGGAUUUUAGCAUGAAAGUUCAUUAAACAAACAUCCAUAGCAUAUAAUUGAAAGUCAUUGUCUUUUAAAAAGAAGAAGUUAUUCCAGGGGUUUAAAUGUUCACAGGAGCUCCAUCCUUCUGUGAAUGAAAACCUACAGAAAUACAAAUGUCUCAAUCUUCCUAUCGAGAUGGGUGUUGGUCAGUGCUGGAGAGAGGGAGAGCUUAUCUGAGUUUUGAUCAGCUCAGAAAUUCCAGGGCCUUUGCAGUCUUGCUACACCUCCCUCCCUGUCAAGCGUUCCUAGACCUUUGUGUCUUAAGAGCUGGGUCUAGCGCGGCUAGGCUACAGGUCUGGAGCUCCAACAUCAGAACUCUCAAACUGCCUAUGUUGGACCCUUGACCAAGGCUCUUUAGGUUGUCUGCUCUGUGAUGUGCAGUAGUGAGGCUGACCCUGUGCUGGGAUAUGUAAAAACUGCAUUUUGAUGUACUUCAUACAACAAUAAAGUUCAAUCUUGAUCUUAGUCUAUUUCUACAAGUCUCAUGUAACCUGUUUCACAGACCUUAAUAUAUAAUAACUCAAUGUUAACAUAGGAAAAUAAAUGAAAACUCUAAGAGAUCUUUCAUCAUGUAGUACAUCAUGUAGUACAGCCUAGUCUCCUGACUUGGAAUCAGCUUCACUUAAAACUCUAAAAAUAACAAAUACUUUGCAGACAAUCAAACUCACAUACAGCCCAUUUUACAGACCUAUAUCUGCCAUGUCAGUGUUGGCCUGCUGGUUAACGACAUACACAGAAGUAGAUGCAAAAUGACCAAAAUGUGACAAAAUAACCAAAAUUAAAAGCAAAUGAGUAAAAAUAAAGGCAAAAGGAUCAAAAUGGUACAAAAAAAAAAAUCACAAAACCAUCUAAAGAUAGUUAAGAUCAAAGACCCAAAAUUCCAAACACAUUUGAAGUUGCUUGAAAUACCAAAAUCCAACAGACGUGCUGUGAACGCAGUACAUUUGGUUUUACUCUCUUUGCCGUGUUGGUUAUACAGCCGUGGAGAAAGAGAUAACGACUAACGAAUAAAAUACUUCAUGUUGACUUGACUAAUUGCCCUCUAAAUAUUUUUUCAUUAUCUAGUAAGGCUUGCACUUGCACUCUGCUCAAUAACCACACCAGCAGAUAGCAUAAUGCAUGGUAAUUUAUUUAAUUCUGUUUAGGAGUAACAGUGUAUGCACUUGAUAUCUGUAAAUUCAUUAGCAUUACAAUUACAGUGUUACAUAAGAUCAUAUAUGAAAUGAGUAUUGCAGUUAUCACAGAUGUCUCUGUGUACGAGACAAACAUCCAUAAAAAAUAAACUUAAAUAUUAAGCUAUACAGUUAACUAGU